AUUACAAUAAGUGAUGACAAUUGUGUUAUCUGUUUGUCUUCUCUAUCGAUGCUUCUGGGGCCUGAUUCAUUUGCGCCAUUUUGUGUGUUGUAGUCAAAAUGAAAGUCAUAUUGCAUUAAAUAUCAAAUAGCGGUUUGAGUCAGUCAUGAGAACUGUAUCAGUCAUCUCUUUGUCAUUCUGGAUUUAAAAACAUCACUGUUAUGACCGGAGAUCCACUCUACUGGCCACCUGUAUAAAAUGCUAGUGCAAAAUUAUUAUUAAUAACUGUCUAUCCUUCGAAAAGACUUUUCCAUUUGAUUCAUUUCUUUCUCUUUUUUUAAUUCAGUAGUAAAGUAUCCCACUGUACAUAUUUUAAAACAUAGCAUUAGCCAUGGAUUGCGGAACGGACCAAAAGAAAGGGUUGGGGACUGGUGAUGGUUUGGGGUGUGAUUGGCAUUAUAAUGCAUUUUAAUUGUACCAAUUACUUGUGAAUGUACUAUAUAGAGUCUGCAAGAUUGUACAUGUUACAUCCUAGUCAACAUUUUAUUAUUAGAAACUGUACUAUAGUAUUAGUUAGAUGCCAGAUGUAUUAUUUGUUUUUAAGCUAUGACUCUGGAUAACUGAUUUUUAGAAUAGAGAUCACAGUUCUCCCACUAUAAAAAUUGUGGAAUAUAACUUCUUACUUUGAGGUGAAUCAUGCAGUCUACAUGAAAAGCAGGAACAAACUACCAUUUCACAAUGUUUCUAUGCUGCAUUUACUAUAAAAUGUAUUAGUGUUAUGCAGUUUUUUUUUUCAGCUAAACUAAAUUAUGCUAGUGUCGGCUGUCAUACUUUGACUGUCACACAAAUAUUGCUUUCCACAGAAAAAGAAUUCCACGAAAAGAAUUGAAACCACAAUCUUCAAUAAAAGAGUGAAAAUAUGACGUCUCAGUGUAAGUGUGCAAAAAAAAAUGCAGGCAACGAUAUUCAAAAGGCAAGCCGGAUGCCACGUGAAAACAACAGUUCAGGAGGUGACAGUUCAGCCAUGACACGUGGAAGGCAAAGGGUCCCGGUCCAAUGUGAAGACACUAUUUCAGUUCAGUGUCAGGAUGACCAGUUCGGGUUUGAUGCUGAAGUGGUUUUUGAUGACAAAUCCUUUCACUUACAGAGGUGCACUCCAUUUGUAGCAGGAUCACAUCAUGGGGGAAGAGUUCCUGUGCAGAAUCAGAAUACUGCUGCUGGUCAAGUGCAGGAGUCAUUUGCUGUGAAUGGACAAAUAAGUGCAAAUGCAGGCUUCUCCACAACGGCAGAUGCUUUGGGGGCUGAUAGCCUAACAUUCAGAGAUGGGGUGUCUCCAGGAUUCAUAGCACCUGAUGGCAUGGGAGGCAACAGCAAUGAACCGAUGAACAGAGAUGAACGUUAUGAAGAUAAGCGUGUGCAUCCAAAGGGAAAGAAGAAAAAAGUAAGAAGAGAGGGGAGAACAGCUUCACCACGAAAGAGGAAAAGCAUCUAGUCAGCAUCUGAUUAUUAUGUAAAGUGAUUUCUUUAAUAACACUUAUUUUCUGUUUAUUUAGCAUUAGUAGUCUAUUUCUAUAAGCUUAAAGGGACAGUUCACCCAAAAAUGAAAAUUCUGUGAUUAAUUACUCACGCUCAAGCCAUUCCAAAUUCAUUCAUCUUCGGAACACAAAUUAAUAUAUUUUUGAUUUAGAUUUUUCUUUGAAAUUCGAUUUACAGCAAAGGUAUAGUAAGAACAUUGUUAAAAUAGUCAGUGUGACAUCAGUGGUUCAACCGUAAUUUUACAAAGCUACGAGAAUACUUUCUGCACAGACUUUAUUCAACAAUUCUUCACCUCCACCCUAGGUGCCAUUAUCUAGAGUAAAACGACAUAUGUAUCUUUCUGUGCCUGGGAACAUUUCAGUUACAUUGCUGUCUAUGAAGGGUCAGAAAGCUCUCGGAUUUCAUCAAAAAUAUCUCCAUUUGUGUUCCGAAGAUGAACGAAGGUCUUACAGGUUUGGAACGACAUGAGGGUGAGUAAUUAAUUACAGAAUUUUCACUUUUGGGUGAUCUAUCCCUAUAAGUAAGACUUGAAAGGUUUAUAAACUUCUAGAACUCUAACUCUCUUUACUGCUUUUUAAACUUCUAUGACUCUGUUGUUCUGUACUGUACUCUUUAAAUAAAUAAUACUUACAAAAUGGCA
ensembl:lncRNA